AGUGAACGCUGGCGGUAGGCCUAAUACAUGCAAGUCGAACGGCAGCACAGGAGAGCUUGCUCUCUGGGUGGCGAGUGGCGGACGGGUGAGGAAUACAUCGGAAUCUACUUUUUCGUGGGGGAUAACGUAGGGAAACUUACGCUAAUACCGCAUACGACCUACGGGUGAAAGCAGGGGACCUUCGGGCCUUGCGCGAUUGAAUGAGCCGAUGUCGGAUUAGCUAGUUGGCGGGGUAAAGGCCCACCAAGGCGACGAUCCGUAGCUGGUCUGAGAGGAUGAUCAGCCACACUGGAACUGAGACACGGUCCAGACUCCUACGGGAGGCAGCAGUGGGGAAUAUUGGACAAUGGGCGCAAGCCUGAUCCAGCCAUACCGCGUGGGUGAAGAAGGCCUUCGGGUUGUAAAGCCCUUUGUUGGGAAAGAAAUCCAGCUGGCUAAUACCCGGUUGGGAUGACGGUACCCAAAGAAUAAGCACCGGCUAACUUCGUGCCAGCAGCCGCCGUAA
rnacentral:rRNA from 1 species